rnacentral:rRNA from 1 species
UACGUAGGGUGCAAGCGUUAAUCGGAAUUACUGGGCGUAAAGCGUGCGCAGGCGGUAAUGUAAGACAGAUGUGAAAUCCCCGGGCUCAACCUGGGAACUGCAUUUGUGACUGCAUCGCUGGAGUGCGGCAGAGGGGGAUGGAAUUCCGCGUGUAGCAGUGAAAUGCGUAGAUAUGCGGAGGAACACCGAUGGCGAAGGCAAUCCCCUGGGCCUGCACUGACGCUCAUGCACGAAAGCGUGGGGAGCAAACAGG